GGGAACUGCGUUCUGAACUGGGUGACUAGAGUGUGUCAGAGGGAGGUAGANUUCCACGUGUAGCAGUGAAAUGCGUAGAGAUGUGGAGGAAUACCGAUGGCGAAGGCAGCCUCCUGGAAUAACACUGACGCUCAUGCCCGAAAGCGUGGGUAGCAAACAGGAUUAGAUACCCUGGUAGUNCACGCCCUAAACGAUGUCGAUUGGCUGUUGGGCAGCAUGACUGCUUAGUAGCGAAGCUAACGCGUGAAAUCGACCGCCUGGGGAGUACGGUCGCAAGAUUAAAACUCAAAGGAAUUGACGGGGACCCGCACAAGCGGUGGAUGAUGUGGAUUAAUUCGAUGCAACGCGAAGAACCUUACCUGGUCUUGACAUGUACGGAACCCUCCAGAGACGGAGGGGUGCCUUCGGGAGCCGUAACACAGGCGCUGCAUGGCUGUCGUCAGCUCGUGUCGUGAGAUGUUGGGUUAAGUCCCGCAACGAGCGCAACCCUAGUCAUUAGUUGCCAUCAUUAAGUUGGGCACUCUAAUGAGACUGCCGGUGACAAGCCGGAGGAAGGUGGGGAUGACGUCAAGUCCUCAUGGCCCUUAUGACCAGGGCUUCACACGUCAUACAAUGGUCGGUACAGAGGGUAGCCAAGCCGCGAGGUGGAGCCAAUCUCACAAAACCGAUNGUAGUCCGGAUUGCACUCUGCAACUCGAGUGCAUGAAGUCGGAGUCGCUAGUAAUCGCAGGUCAGCAUACUGCGGUGAAUACGUUCCCGGGUCUUGUACACACCGCCCGUCACACC
rnacentral:rRNA from 1 species